CCGGUUGAUCCUGCCAGUAGUGAUAUGCUUGUUUCAAAGAUUAAGCCAUGCAUGUCUAAGUAUAAGCGAACUUAUACAGUGAAACUGCGGAUGGCUCAUUAAAACAGUUUGAAUUUAUUUGAUGAAUGUAUGAGAAUACUACUUGGAUAACCGUAGUAAUUCUAGAGCUAAUACAUGCAACGACGCCCGACCGUUUCACUACGGAAGGGCUGUAUUUAUUGGAUACCAAAACCAUCCUUCCCUCGGGAAGUUUUGUUUGAUGAUUCACAAUAACUGAUCGGAUCGCCACUGUGGUGGCGACAGGUCAUUCAACAUUCUGCCCUAUCAGCUUUCGAUGGUUGUGUAGUGGACAACCAUGGCCAUAACGGGUAACGGAGAAUCAGGGUUCGAUUCCGGAGAAGGAGCUUGAGAAUUGGCUACUACAUCUAAGGAAGGCAGCAGGCGCGCAAAUUACCCAAUCCCGAUUCGGGGAGGUAGUGACAAAAAAUAACAAUACCGGGCCUUUUUGGGCUUGGUAAUUGGAAUGAGGGAGAGUUAAACGGACCAUCGAGUAUCCAUUGGAGGGCAAGUCUGGUGCCAGCAGCUGCGGUAAUACCAGCUCCAAUAGCGUAUAUUAAAGUUGUUGCAGUUAAAAAGCUCGUAGUUGGACUUGUGUGCGCUGUCCGCGGGUGGCCUGCGCCCAAAAGGGCGUUUCGGUUCGGCCCCGGUGGCGCCUUGAAAUCUGCAGCUGGGGGGACGUUGGCCUUAACUGGUCGGCGACCGCACGCCGGCUGCUCGGUUACUGUGAGAAAAUUAGAGUGUUCAAGGCAGGCAUUGGGUGCAAUUGAAUACAUUAGCAUGGAAUAAUAAAAUAUGGCUCCUGCCGUAUUUUGUUGGUUUUGACUGGUGGGAGUAAUGAUUGAUAGGGACGGUUGAGGGUGCUAGUAUUGAGCGGCCAGAGGUGAAAUUCAUGGAUUCGCUCAAGACUAACUUAUGCGAAAGCAUUCACCAAGGACGUCCUCUUCAAUCAAGAACGAAAGUUGGGGGAUCGAAGACGAUCAGAUACCGUCGUAGUCUCAACCAUAAACUAUGUCGACUUGGGAUCGGCGGUAGUUUUUUCAUUAAGACACUGUCGGGACCACGGGAGAAAUCAAAGUGUCUGGACUCUGGGGGAAGUAUGGUCGCAAGGCUGAAACUUGAAGGAAUUGACGGAAGGGCACCACCAGGAGUGGAGCCUGCGGCUUAAUUUGACACAACACGGGGAAACUUACCAGGUCCAGAGAUGUAGAGGAUUGACAGAUUGAAGCUCUUUCUUGAUCACUUCGGUGGUGGUGCAUGGCCGUUCUUAGUUGGUGGAGUGAUUUGUCUGGUUAAUUU
rnacentral:rRNA from 1 species